rnacentral:rRNA from 2 species
AUGUAGAGGAAGAGAGUAGUCUCCGGGUAGGGUAGCAGGUGGGUUGGACUUUAUUGUUGAGGUGGAGAGAAGUAAAGGGGUAGGCUAUGUACAGGUGUAUGGGUGUUUGGGGGGUGUGCGAGGCAAUGGGGUAGUUGAUGGAAACUGUUUAAGAGGGAAGAUAGGAAUAGGGGCGGGCCAGACGCGGUGGGUGAGUGGGGGGCAACGAAGUAUUUAAAGUGAGAAAAGGGAAGCGAGGAUAUACACGAGUAAUCGAUCAGGCUGAAGUGUACAAUAUAUGACGGGGUUAGGAGGAUAGCUGGUGUCACUGUGUGGGGUGAAAGCAGAUCAGGUGGAGGCAUGAGUGAGGGGUCUAGCUUGUGUCAGGGAGUUGUGUGGGUUAAGGCCGGCAAGGUGCGCAACCGUUAGUAUGAUUUCCCAUCAUUUAGUGGGACAGUCAAGUGAGACUGCCGGUGACAAACCUGAGGAAGGUGGGGAUGACGUCAAAUCCUCAUGCUCCUUAUGACCUGGGCUACACACGUGCUACAAUGGAUGGUACAACGAGUUGCGAUCUCGCGAGAGUAAGCUAAUCUCUUAAAGCCAUUCUCAGUUCGGAUUGUAGGCUGCAACUCGCCUACAUGAAGUCGGAAUCGCUAGUAAUCGCGGAUCAGCAUGCCGCGGUGAAUACGUUCCCGGGCCUUGUACACACCGCCCGUCACACCAUGAGAGUUUGUAACACCCAAAGUCGGUGGGGUAUAUGAUAGGAACCAGCCGCCUAAGGUGGACAGAUACUAGGGGAGUCACCACGCCUUCCUAAA